rnacentral:lncRNA from 1 species
CCACUGCAGCCUCUCAAAGUGUUGGGAUUACAGGCAUGAGCCGCCGUGCCCGGCCUUACUUUUUAUUUUCAAUUAAGUGAAACAAUUACAUGGAAAUUGAAAAAAAAAAAAGGUACUCUAAGUAGACUACUCUAGUGUAUUUUAAUUUUCUUGCCAAUUCAGCCACUAGGAUUGUGUCACUUGUUUUUUUGAUUUUAGUUUUUCGUAUCAAAAAGCAAACCACUGUUUAUAUUUGAGUGCUGGUUUCAACUGUAUGCUGCCUCAAAUAAACUUAGAUUAUAUUACAAAUUCUUUUUUACAUAGAUUUCAUUGGCUAUAUUCAUAUAUCCUCAAAGGUUUCCAUUGUGUUUGAAGAGGUAUCCUAAUUGUAAUAAAUGCUUUUGAUUGGGGAUGCCAGGGAAGCUUUGAGACUAAUGUCUCAGAUUUUUUUUAAAAAAGUUUAUAUUCUAUAGUGAUCAAAGAUGUAAGAAUAAUUUUUCUUGUCAUUCAUUGGAUAGUCCAGUGAGUGUCUACUGUGAAUUCUUAUAUUCACUUGUAACUAAACAUUCCAUUUGGCAAAUUUCGUUUCAUAACUUCCCUAAUUUCCUCUACACUUUGUAGAUUGGGUGAGAUACAAUUCCAUGGAAUUUUACCACUGAACCAGUGGAGGGCUAAUUUUGUCAUUUGUACCAGUUAACUAACUUGGGAGGAAACAGAACAACACACUCCUGAGAUUGGUUUUCACAGAAUUCCAUGGACUUUAACUGCUGAACCAAUGAUGCACUGAUUUUGUCACUUGUACCAGCUAACGCAUCUGGGAGGCAACAAAACAAUACUCUCCUGAGGUUAAUGUGGACCAAAAACUAGAUUUCAUAUAAAAGAGUUUAUUCCUUCUACUUGAGGUGUGACAUGAAGGAAAGUAAUGGAAAUAAUUCUGCCCUCCCAUUCUCAAGGGCCAGGGGGAAUUCAAAUAUUGAACGGAAGUGAUUUUGGAAUUGCAUGGAAUUCUCACUGCCAUCCCAAAGAAAUGCUGAUCUUGUCACUCUUACCUGUUUCAUUCCCUGGGGGCAGAACAAAAGGACGCACUCCAAAGAUCGGCAUGAACCAAGAACUGGGUUUCAUAUAAAAUAUUUUAUUCUGUCCUCUUGAGAUGUGACAUGAGAAAAGUAUUGAGAAUACUUCUAUCACCUCAUCUUCAAGAAUCCGUAGGAAUUCUCCCAUGGUGGACUUUACGGUUAACCUGAACAGGUCUUGGAAAAAGGACUUUAAACAUUCUCCUGUUCUGUGGAAUAAGUAUACUUUUUUCUGGACAUACACCUUGUCAGUGAGUUCCAUGUGAUACUAGAGUUGCAUAGAUUUUUAACCUUUACGCCAAUGAAGAUCUGAGGCAAACAUUGCCCCUUUUUUAGAAGUUUGCAUUUGUCACUGAUAACUGUAAUAAUUGAUCUUGUUGAAAAGCCUGGGAAAUGAAGAUCUGAUAUGUCACUUUUACCGGCUUCCUCAACUGAAAAAGAAUACAAUGAAACACGCUGAGAAUUUUUGUGCUUUCUCAGUCUUGCUGAUGAUCUUUCUAUGGGCCUGAAGCGUGGAGAGUGCCAGAGAGGCUGAUCCUCAGCAGUGUGGCAGAGGAAAGUUGGGUGCGACUAAGGGGUAUGCGGUGCCCACAUGCCACUGGGUCCUCAGCAGUACCACCUGAUUGGAAGUGAUAUUGGUGGAAGACAACAUUUUGCCGCUUGGAAUUCUCACCUCCACACCAAAGAAGUACUGUUUUUGUCAUUUGCACCAGCUUCUUUCUCCAGGAAAGAUCAAAACGAUGCACUGCAAGUGUGAUUGGUCCAGAUAGCUGCCUUAUCCAACUGCCUCCUUUGGACCACUUCAUCAUGGGACAGCUUGAUGCAAUCUACUUGACAAGACCCUGGAACCCCACACCCCUCAUGGAACCAGUGUCCACCUCCCAGUCACAGUGUGACCCCAGGGAACUCUUGCCUGCUUGCUUUAAACCCACCACUUAAAAGUCUCCACAGAAAACCUGUUUGAAUAGUACCCUUGACCCAAUAAGGGCAUUGGCCCCUGGGUGUCUCUCUCUCUCUCUCUCUCUCUCUCUCCCUCUCUCUCCCUCUCUCUCUCUCGCUCCCUGACCUCUGCGUGUGGACUCCAGGCAUGCCAUAUACCCCUCAGGACCUGAAGCAAAAGAAUGAAUUAAAGAAAACUCCAGAGAAUGAGCUGACAACCUACUCCCUGGUCAGUGGCUCUCCAUGCCUACCUGUGGUCUCUUGGACACCCUUGCAGAAGAUGACUUCCUGGGAACUCUUCUGGGAGUGAAUGUUAUCAGCAAAUUCCCAAAACAACACCCCUUAGACAAAAAGCCUCCUCACCUAUGCAUUGCCUAGACCACCCACUAAAGGUGAUGGCCACAAAGAGGUGGAUUUGUUGAGUUGGUGCCAUUCCUUCUACUGCCAGCUUCACCAAAACAAUGACACAGUCUUCCUUCCGCAUGGAGACUCUUCUCUUUCCUGUGUUGCAGUGGAUGCCUCCUGCAGAUAAGAAAUGCUUAACUGAGAAAUGCUCAUGUUGGGAUAUCAUCGAUGAGACUUUAAUUUGGGCAUGGUGACUGUUUCCCUUGCUGCCACUUGACUCAAUCCCAGGAGCCUCAGUAGAGGAUAUAAUAUUACACAAGAUGCUCAAAAUGGUGGAAUUGCUCAGUGCUCCCAUAAAUAUACAUUUAUAAUUUUCAUUUGCCACAUGGUAAACUGAAAAAUACAGACUAUAUUAAAAAGAAACUGCAUGAUUUUUUUUCAAAAAUUCAAAGCAUAUUUAAAUAAUAUAUAAAUUAAAUGCCCUCCUCUCUUCCAAUUCUGUCCCUAUAGUUUUCCUCUAUUAAGUGAACUACAUGCAUUCUUUUAGUGGAUAGAUGCACACAAACACACAAGCCAUUAUGGGGAAGGAUCCACGUGUGUGGCCAUAUUGUAACACAUUUUUCUGCAAAUCACCUCUUUCAUUUAACAGCCCUUAUUCAAUGGCCUUUUUCUUUUUCAGUAGUACAUACACAUCUGUGUCAUUUGUUGAAUGACGACAUGAAUGUUUUGUAGAUAAAAUAUAAUUAAAUGUUUUAAGCAUUUCUCACUCAUAGAUAUUUAUGUUAGCACCAAAUUUCUGUGCAAUGAACCUCCCUAUAUAUCAGUAAUUUUGCAUUUGUCUAUAAUAUCAUAAUAAAUUACUUAUCAGUUGAAUUACUGGGAUUAAGUAUGUGCACACUUUAUAUUUAUAUUUUGAAAAUUAUUGCAAGAUUGCCUUCAAAAAUGUGGUUAACAACUUUAUCUUCAAAUGGCAAUGAAUGAGAUUGCCAGCUUUCCUACAGCCUCACAGACAAUGGAUUUUAUAAAUAUUUAACAUUUUUGCCAAUGUGAUCACCCAAACUAUUGUCUUAAAUUGUAUCUCUUUUGUUUUUGAGUUUGGUCAUUUUUUCAUGUUUAUUAGCCAUCUGUAUUUUUUAAUUUCUUCUUUAUGUCCAAUUUUGUGGGUGGGAGGAGGAUUUAGUCUCUUCCUGAUUUCGAAGAGCUCAUUUACUAUUUCGGGAAAUAAGAUUUGGAUUGUCAACCAUUAUAGCUAUUUUUUACACACUUUUCAACUUUGUUUUUGUUAUAAGAAUGUGUAUGAUUGUUACAUGUCCAAGUAUAACCAUGUUCGCUUUUAUGGCUUCUGAGUUUCAUGUCAUUUUUGGAAAGAUAUAUAUAUUGAGUCCAUAAAACCCUUCACCUAUGUUAAAUUCUAAUUCUUUUGUGUUUUUUUAAUUCAAAUUCUUAAAUCAUGAGAAAUUUUUUUGUUUUGAAAUCUUAAAGUUGCCAAGUUACUUGCCAUUACUUGCGAUUAUUUGCCAAUAAUUGCCCAUUUAUCUGUACCGCCAUCUUGCGCAUAUGCUGUACUCUCAUCUGUGACUGGCUCCAUUUUUGUUCUGUGGAUUUGUGUGUCUCUUCUUCUGCCUCCUGUCUCGUGUCUGCUCGUUGGAAGAAAUUACAGUUUAGACUGCAAUUUCAUCAACUUUAAUAAAUCAAUUGAGGGGAGAAUUGGUUUUUAAAAAUAUUAAGUAAGUCUUCGUAUCCAAGGACAAGGUAUGUCUUUUCUUAUUCAAUAAUUUUAAUUACUGUUAAUAUUUUCACUGUGGUGAUGGGAGUUUUUCUUUUAAUUUAUUUUCUUGUUCAUUUUUUGUAUCUAAAGUUUUUGUUUUGUUUUGUUUUGGGGGUAAGUUGUCACCUUACUGUUUCUUGUUGCUUUUCAGAUUUUUUCAAAGUAUAGACUAAAUCCUUCACAAAUAUUUAAAGUUUUUAUUUUCCCCCUUCAUAUUGAUCCUGAUUUUAGUUAUGUUGACAAAGUCCACAGACUGUUACUAUCAGAACACUUGAACAGUUAUGGAAAUAUUACCUACCCUUGAUUUAAUCAGAGUUUAAUGGUAUGCUUCUUUGGUUUGACUGGCACAUUGUCGCUGGUCAUUUCCUCCCAAAGACCACCAGAAAGAGCUAUGAUCAAGCAAAGCUGAGUUUGUUAAACUUACCUGCAGCAAGGGAAAACACCACCUUGAUAGGGUUUAAUAAUGUUUCAAAAUCAAGAAAUGAGGCUUUGGGGUCUGGGCAGGGAACUAAUUAGAAAUGGGCAAAAUUUGUCAUGCAAUACCUUGUGGGAAAGUGAGAUGAGGUUCUUAAUGUGAGUAUUGAUGGUGAAAUCAUUUUCUAGGUGAGCUGUUUGCCUAUAUAAAGAUGUUAUCAAUGACAGAAGAACUAUUUGCCUAGAUAAACAAACUGAAUUUAUUUAUUGGUUUACAGUUUUAUCUUGCUGGGCAGGACUCUGCUGGGGGUGGUAUCAGGUCUUAUUCCCAAUAGGUAAGUUAUUUGGAUAUGGGUGGUCUUAAUCAUCAAUGUGUAAAAUGCUGAUUUUAAGUGCGAAAUACUUUGUCUACCAUGUUAGGAAAGUCUGCCACCUUUUAUCUUUUUUAAGGAAUUUUAAUCAAAACCAGGUGGUAGAUAUAAUCAAAUUGUUUUGCAGAAUCAAUUUUCCUGUUCUCUUUAAAGACUUUUAUCACUGUGAAUUAAUUUACUAUUAUUGCAACUUCCUUUAAUUCCUUGAAUGAACAGACCCUACUGGUUUUAAAAAUGUUUUAUUCUUUUAAUUUACUACUUAAUUGUGGGUAUUUUAAUUUGAUUUGGAAUUUUUACAAGUAUACAACUAAGUGAAAUUGAUCUGUGAUUUUUCUUUUUUGUGCUAUUUUUGUCAUGUUUUGAUAUCAGAUAUUCUGGUUGUGUUAAAAUAAUUUUGAGGAUUUUCUUCUUAUACUGUGUUCUAGAGUGGGUAAAAAAGCCCUAGUCUCACUAUCAGUGUUUAAGUGAACACAUCAGUGACAUCAUCUGGACUCUCCUUUGUUUUUGCUGGUUUGGAGUUAGGACAUCUAGAAGUUUUUUUCUUUUUUUCCUUUUUUUGUAUGGUUAUUGCUUGUUCUUUGUUUUGUGUCAAAUUUAACCUGUUUUCUCUUAGCAAAUCACAGCUCAUGCAGAUUUUCAAACACAUUAGCCUUGUUAUACAAAGUGUUCUUUCAUCAUUCUAUUAAAUUUCCAUUUUCAUUCCAGUUAUAGUUAUUUCUGCUGUGCCUUUGUUAAUGAAUAAGUUUAAACAGUGGAUGUUUAGCAUCACUAGCCUUCCCCUUCCAUCUCCCUUAAUCAGGACCUUGGUAUAAUUUAUCAGGUAUUUUUUAAGGUUCUAAUUUACUUAUAUAUAUUGUUUCUGUAUUCUUUUGUUUCUUUUCUUAAUAAAUUCUUAAA